rnacentral:rRNA from 1 species
GAAAGUGGAAUUCCAUGUGUAGCGGUGAAAUGCGCAGAGAUAUGGAGGAACACCAGUGGCGAAGGCGACUUUCUGGUCUGUAACUGACGCUGAUGUGCGAAAGCGUGGGGAUCAAACAGGAUUAGAUGCCCUGGUAGUCCACGCCGUAAACGAUGAGUGCUAAGUGUUAGGGGGUUUCCGCCCCUUAGUGCUGCAGCUAACGCAUUAAGCACUCCGCCUGGGGAGUACGACCGCAA